AUAAAAAGAAUUACUCUAUAAAUAAGUAUGUUUAUUUUUUGUUUAUCACUUUAUUUUUUCUCCUAAAUGUAAUAUUAUUAAAGUAUAACUCAACUUUAUUAUAGAAUCACUCUAUUUUAAAGAAGAAAAGUAGAGUAAACUAUUGAAGAUAGUCUUGGGGGCGUGAACAUGCAUAAACCAUUAAUAAGAUGCUUUUGUUCGUUAACUCAGCUGUAUUGGUCUAGUGGAAAAAACGAUUUCAUAUGCAAUUUUUAUUUUAGGUUUGAUUCGCCUUGGCCAUCUCGUCGUGCCAUUUAGAUGGAUUAGUUGCAUAUUCAGAUACAAAGUCUCGUGAAAUUAGUCUUUUAGUUCGUUAUUAUCAUGUAGAUUAACUACAGUGUCUGUGUGUACAUUUGGCUACGACAAAUAAUUAAUUGCAUGUUGUUGUCAUUUGUUGUAUAUUUAUUGUGGGUGUAGAUUUAUGUAUUCAACGUGUGUGUUUAUUAGAGAGCCAAUGGCUGAGUAUAUAUACAACAACGUAACUCAAUCUCAACAAGGAGAUUUGUCCUUAUCUAGCUAAGAACCUGGACUUAUCAACACGUCCGUAAUUAUCCUAACACAUAUUCAAUAUAUAUCCCCAAUACUCCCCCUCAAGUUGGAGCAUGUGGAUUCACUACGCCCAACUUGGACAUGAUGGUUUGAAAAGGAACCCGGCCCAGCGCUUUUGUCAAAAUGUCAGCGACUUGUGAAUCAGACCGAAUAUGUUGCGUGACAAUGAGACCAGAAGUUACAGCAUCCCGUACUGAGUGACAAUCACGUUCCAAGUGUUUUGUUCUCUCAUGAAACACCGGGUUCGCUGCGAUAUGUAUAGCAGCCUUACUGUCACAGAAGAAUCUCGUAGGCCCAGGUUGUUCCGCGCCAAGUUCUUUGAGGAGACGACGUAUCCACUUUGUUGUUUUUAAUGCAACACCCAUUGACCGGUACUCAGCCUCUGCUGAAGACAUUGCAACAGUGUCUUGUUUCUUUGUUUUCCAAGCAAUGGGAGAGCCUCCAAGCAUGACAACGCACGCACUUAAGGAACGACGAGACAGAGGACAGCCACUCCAGUCUGCAUCGCAAUAGAUAGUAAGCGUGAGAUCGUUGGUUGAGUGAAGAAGAAUUCCCUGUCCUGGUGUCCCUUUCAAAUACCGUACAACUCUGAGCGCCGCAGACCAAUGUUCUUCUGUAGGAGCUUGCAUAAACUGAGACAGCAAAUGAACUGAAUAAGACAACUCCGGACGGGUGUUCAACAGAUAAAUUAAACGUCCUAACAGACGUCGGUACUUCUUUGGAUCAGUAAGGAGUGGAGCAGUAGACUUGGCGAGCUGAUGAUUCUGUUCUAAAGGAGUCGACGCAGGUUUGGAACCGAGGUUGCCCGUAUCUGCAAUGAUAUCAAGGGCAUACUUGCGCUGAGAGAGAAAGAUACCUUCAGGACCUCUGCUAACUUCGAUCCCAAGAAAAUAUUUAAGUUUCCCUAAGUCUUUCAUGGCGAAGCACUUGCUCAGAUAUUCUUUGAAGCGUCGCACCAUAUGGGAGUUGUUGCCACAAAUGAGUAGAUCGUCAACGUAGACAAGGACCCGAAGCUCCACACCAUUACGCUCAUAGGAAAACAGAGAAUAGUCUUCGUAGGACUGAAUAAAACCAAAACGUAUUAAGGCAUCCGAGAGCUUCUUAAACCAACAGCGCGGAGCCUGCUUCAAGCCGUACAGAGACUUUCUUAAUUUACAUACUUUGUUAGGAUGGGAGUGUCGAAAACCUGGAGGGAGUUUCAUAUAUACUUCUUCUUCGAGAUCACCAUGAAGAAAAGCAUUUUGGACAUCCAUUUGAUACACUUCCCAUUGUUUGGCCGAAACUAGUCGCAACAAAGCUCGAACUGUUGUCAUUUUAACCACCGGAGCAAAUGUUUCUGUAUAGUCUUCACCCUCAAUCUGACUCUUGCCAUUUACUACCAAGCGUGCCUUAUGUCUCUCAACUGUGCCAUCUGCAUUGUAUUUGAUUUUGAAAAUCCAUAGACAUCCAAUCGCUUCUUUGCCAGGUGGUAAAUCAGUGAUAUCCCAUGUGUCACUGUCCUCGAGAGCUACUACUUCUUUUCCCACAGCCUUACGCCAAACAUCAAGUUUCAUAGCAUCUUUGAAGUUCUUUGGUUCAUCAGACUUGCUUACUGCUGCUAAGAACGCUCGAUGACUAGGAGAAAAUUGCUCAUCAGUAAUGUAAUCAGACAGAGGAUACAAGGAUUUACCUGAGACCGACGACGAAGACUCUAAUGAGGAGGAUGUGGAGACGAAAUAGUGUGUAUUACUAUCAGGAUCAGCGGAAGCAUUGUAGAGCAGAUAAUCACGAAGGGUAACAGAUUGUGUUUUCUCUCGUUGUCCUCGACCUAGAAUCUCAGUAGCUGGAGCAGAAGAUGAGUCUGUAGAGGAGGAUGGCUCUGGUGUUGAGUUCAGGACUUCUUGUAACGGAGCCGCAGGAGUUUCUUCUGAGACAGGAAGUGAUGUCGUUUCUACUGGUGUCACCACAGCUGCUGGAACAGAUUGAUCAGUUUCUUGGUCAGAAGAAUUCAUUUGAACAACAUUACUCCCCCUGUCGUCCAAUGGCAUGAUGAUCCAAUCUUCAUCACUGGCUACUUCGACAGUUGAUGUGAUUGGUGGAGCAGGUUUUGGGUCAGCAAAAGGAAACAGAUCUUCUCGAAACACUAUAUCUCGAGACACAAGGAACUCGUCGCGUUCAAUAUCAAACACUUUCCAGCCUUUCUUGCCAAAGGGGUAACCAACGAACACACAUAACCGACUUCGAGGACCAAAUUUGUCCUUGUCCCGAGAGGCUUUAUGCACAUAACAUGCAGAACCGAAAACCCGCAACAUCUUGUAAUCUGGCUUGACGCCGUGAAGAAUCUCAUAUGGGGAACGGCCUUUGAGAACGGACGACGGGGUUCGAUUUAUUAAAUGAGCAGCUGUGAGUACUGCUUCUCCCCAAAAGCGAAUCGGAAGACUGGCUUGAAACAAGAGAGCUCGAGCAAUAUUUAAAAUGUGCCUGUGUUUCCUCUCGACUCGACCAUUUUGUUGUGGAGUGCUGACACAAGAAGUUUGAUGUACGAUGCCGAGAUCCUUAAAAUAAGACGACAGGACCAUGAACUCUGUCCCAUUAUCACUACGAAUCACUUUUACUGGUUUUUGGAAUUGUUUCUCUGUGUACGCCAGGAAGUUCUUCAAAACACGCUGGACUUCUGAUUUUGCGAGGAGGAGGUAGGUCCAUACGGCCCUGGAAUAAUCGUCUACUAUAGUCAAGAAGUAUACUGCACCGCAAGAGGAGGGAACUCUGUAGGGACCCCACACAUCAACAUGAAUAAGAGAAAAACACUCUGUUGUUUUAUUCAUACUUUCAUAAAAAACUUCACGCGUUUGCUUAGCUCGAAAACAAGUGUCACACGGACUUGAGCUAGCUGAUUUAGAAACAAAAGAUAAAUCUGAAAACACUGAAAACGACGGAUGGCCCAAACGUUGAUGCCACAAGACAGGAUCAGAACCGCCUGCUGCCCGAUGACUCUUAGCUGAAACCAAAUCCGUGAAGUAAUACACACCAUCGCGUUCCUCACCGGCUCCAAUCAGAGUCCUCGAAAAACGGUCCUGCAAAACACAUAUUGUAUCAGUAAAAGUCGCAAAACAAUUUACUUGCUUCAGAAGUUUUGCAACUGAUAUCAAGGUGCAAUUCAGGUCAGGAACAUAGAGCACUCGCUGCAGUUUUAUUGCAUCAGACAAGGAGAAUGUUCCCAUCUUUACAGCAAAUGUUCGGUUCCCAUCAGCAAAGGAGAUUGAACACGGUGGAAUCGACUCCAUGUCCGUCAACAACUCAUGAUUUCCCGUCAUAUGGUGCGAGGCACCGGUAUCUAAAAUGACAUCACCCAAAUGAUUCUUACCGGAUAGCUUGUCAGACGCAGAGUUACCAGCUUUCUCUUGAAUCAUCUGACUGAGCACUUUCCACUGAUCAGUAGUGAGCUCUGGAAACGACGAGUUGGAGCUUGUGGCUUGAGCAACGUUAGCCUGACCACGCCCUCGACUAUUUGUUCCACGUCCUCGACCUCUGUUGCCAGCACCAUUCCCACGACCACCACUGCGAUCAUUAAACCAGUCAGGGAAACCCACUAAUUGCCAACAGUCACGCUUUUCAUGACCUGUACGUCCACAGUGAGAGCAUAUCGAUCGUGCUCGCAUAAUUGAGUUGUCUCCUUUACUUGACGUUGAGUCGUUUGUAGAAUCGCGUUGAGAAGAAUUUGAGUGUUGACGUGCGACGAAGCCAACUGCUUCUGGCUGAUGAUCACGGCCACGUGCAGUCGUUAGUCUUUGUUCUUCUCUCACCAUCUUAUUGUAUAUUUCUCCAAGCGAUGGCAAAGGAUCAAGUCCUAUUACGUUCGUAGAGAUGUUCCCAAAGCGAGAAUCGUCCAAACCCAUUACAAACUGAUGGAUCUUCUCAUGCUCUCUCUCUUUAGCCAUAGCUACAGCAGCUCCACACGUACAUGCAUGAACCGGCUGAUAGACCUGCAACUCUUCCCACAAUGUUGAGAGUUUGCCAAAAUACUCCAAAAUAGAUCGCCCUUCUUGUCGACACGAAGCAAGCUGAGCCUUGAUCUGAUGAACACGAACCGUGUUCCCUACGGAAAACCUCUGUUUCAGGUCUUCCCACAACUGAUACGCAUCAGUGAUAUAUGUGACAGUGGAGCGCACGUUUGGUUCGAUGGACGUUCGAAUCCAGCCCACUAUCAUUGAAUUAACUGUUAACCAAUGAUCGUGAUCAGGGCUCUCCUCAUCUGGUUUCUUCAGAGUUCCUUUGAUGAAACCCAAUUUACGUUUGGCUUGCAGAGCGUUGACCAUCUCCGACGACCAUUCGUUGUAAUUCUCUCCAUUCAACUUGACAGAGGUAAUCACGGCUCCCGGAUUGUCAGAGCCAUACAACAUGUAAGGUGAGCUUGACAUCGCUUCAUCCUUCCUAUGACCACUUACAAUACUUGUAGAAUCAGCCAUGACUCAAAAAAAUGAACAGAAGAUCAGAGUUUGAGGAUCUUCCGCUCUGAUACCAUGUAGAUUUAUGUAUUCAACGUGUGUGUUUAUUAGAGAGCCAAUGGCUGAGUAUAUAUACAACAACGUAACUCAAUCUCAACAAGGAGAUUUGUCCUUAUCUAGCUAAGAACCUGGACUUAUCAACACGUCCGUAAUUAUCCUAACACAUAUUCAAUAUAUAUCCCCAAUAGGAUACAUGACCAAUUUACCAUAUAUAAAAACUUAAAAAAACCCGGUUCAUCCAUGUUGCGAAAAGCUAUUCACGG
rnacentral:lncRNA from 1 species